rnacentral:lncRNA from 1 species
UGGGAAGCAGGAAAUGAAUGAUCAGAGAGUUGAAGUGUUUAGUUCAAGGGUGAACCAUCCUAUCACAAGAGGCCCUUGAACACUGGCACAGGGUACUUUUACUCUUGAGCUUGUUUUUUAGGAAGCUAACAGCAACAAACAUAAACUCCACAAGAUUGAGAAUAAGCACUACUCACCAGCAAAGUUGCUUCAGAUGCCUAGAAGCCUUACCUCAAGGGGUCUCUGGACAAUCCCUAACUAUAAGAUCAAAACGUGACAUCUUGGAGCAACUUCCCCUCAGCCCACAUGAGUGAAGAUGGUUCUCUUCCUUGGAGAUUUCAGUUGCAGAUCACCACUUGGUUGUGAGUUCCUCCUUCCUGAGAUACAAAGACACAAGAGAAGCUAUGUAACAAGGUAAAGGAUAAUUACCAAGCAAAUGCCUGCACCAUCAGGAUAAGGUCCACCAUCACCCAGAAUGUCUCUCAAAGAUUAGGGAAAUGGGAGGAGAAAGGUGCUGCUCCACUGUAAGAUCACAGCUCAUCCCAUUAACAGUUGCCUUCAGACAUCUCAGCCAUUGUAUAGCUCUAGCAGGCCUAUGAGGUCUAUUCCAGGCAUUAAAUAUGCCUAACAGGACUUCUGGUGGCCACAGAUCAGGCUUGUGUCUUAUAGCACGUUGAUAUUCAUGGGAGUUUAAAAAUCCAUGAGGCCAUUGGGACUAUUGAAGUUCCAUUGAGAUAAUUGGAGCCUUUCUAACAGAACAUGCUUACCUUGUGAUCUGCGUUGAAUCUUACUCCCCUCCCAGGGCAACAGGGCCAUAUGAUGGUGGUGGAUGCCCUCCCCAUGGUGGCAUGAUUCAUGCCUUUCUCCAGGUUUUCAACUACCCCAGCUACUGUUGCCUUGUUAAGCAGGGACUUCAAUUUUGUCUCUUAAGUUCGUAGGUUUGAUAGUUUUCAAAGUUCUUUCAGUCCACAUUAGACUACCUAUCACCCACUACCUACAAACCAGAGGAUAGACUGAGUCAAACAGCAAGAUAAUAGAAGGGUAUCUCCUGGUCUAGGCAUCACAGCCACCAUGGGGACUCCAUCUAGCUCCCCACCACCAAGCUAAUCUCUAAGAACUCCUUGUCCCUCUCCACCCAGAGCAUGCCUUGGCCUUCUAAUUAUAGGCUUCACCCUCUACUUCCUAAAACCACAGAGUACCACCAUAGUCACAGACCACCCAGGGAAACCUAACAAACUCUGUGUGAUUCAACAGGAAAUGAUACCAGGCUUAUGGCAAUAGGCAUCAAACACUAGUCAAAGCUGGGCUUGUGAGAGUCAGCCGUUUCAUUCAAAAGACUAAAAGGAUAUUCCUUUAUAGCGCUGGAUCGGAUAUGACUUUUGUGAAGCAUCUAUUGUGCAAUUCCUUCAUCUGAGCAUAACCUCUGACAGUAGGCUAUGCCUACUAUACAUUUGGAGAUGAUCAUUUUAAUGAUGUAUCAGGAGUCAGAUUGUGGUAGUCCAAGAUAGGAGCCAAAGCAAAUCUUCUCUAACCCCCUAGCAGGUUUACACUUUUGUGGAAUCCCCCCAGAGACCCCAACAAAGAAUGGCAGUUUGGCUGGAGAAAAGUAUCUAUAAAUUUGUGAAUGUGCCCUAUAACCAUGGAUAUCCUCCAUGAUCCACAGAUCUGGCAUUCUAGAAAUUAGAACAAUAUGAAUGGCAUUUUCUUACUCCCCAUCCUGAAGGUCUUUCUCUCUAGAUUGGUCUAGAAACGGUGGUCUGAGGACCACAUGGACCUCUCAAAGUUGGAAUUUAUCAAUCCACAGUCCUCCUACAUGCAAAAUAAUAGCUCAGAAUACUAAGGAGGCAUGUCUGGGAGUGUGUUAAGAUGUCAUGGAGGUGGUCCAUCACACUUGGUCUAAGAGGAUACGGGAGAUACAUUCUGCCUUGUGAUUGGAGUGUUUAAUCCAUUCACACUUAAUGUUAUAAUUAACAUGGUAGAAUUCACAUCUGUUGUUUUGCUAUUUGUUUU